GAUGAACGCUGGCGGCGUGCCUAAUACAUGCAAGUCGAGCGAACAGACGAGGAGCUUGCUCCUCUGACGUUAGCGGCGGACGGGUGAGUAACACGUGGAUAACCUACCUAUAAGACUGGGUUAACUUCGGGAAACCGGAGCUAAUGCCGGAUAAUAUAUUGAACCGCAUGGUUCAAUAGUGAAAGACGGUUUUGCUGUCACUUAUAGAUGGAUCCGCGCCGCAUUAGCUAGUUGGUAAGGUAACGGCUUACCAAGGCAACGAUGCGUAGCCGACCUGAGAGGGUGGUCGGGCACACUGGAGCUGAGACACGGUCCAGACUCCUACGGGAGGCAGCAGUAGGGAAUCUUCCGCGAUGGGCGAAAGCUUGACGGAGCAACGCCGCGUGAGUGAUGAAGGUCUUCGGAUCGUAAAACUCUGUUAUUAGGGAAGAACAAAUGUGUAAGUAACUAUGCACGUCUUGACGGUACCUAAUCAGAAAGCCACGGCUAACUACGUG
rnacentral:rRNA from 1 species